rnacentral:rRNA from 1 species
AUUGAACGCUGGCGGCAUGCCUUACACAUGCAAGUCGAACGGCAGCACGGGAGCAAUCCUGGUGGCGAGUGGCGAACGGGUGAGUAAUAUAUCGGAACGUGCCCAGUCGUGGGGAUAACGUAGCGAAAGCUACGCUAAUACCGCAUACGAUCUACGGAUGAAAGCGGGGGAUCGCAAGACCUCGCGCGAUUGGAGCGGCCGAUAUCAGAUUAGGUAGUUGGUGAGGUAAAGGCUCACCAAGCCGACGAUCUGUAGCUGGUCUGAGAGGACGACCAGCCACACUGGGACUGAGACACGGCCCAGACUCCUACGGGAGGCAGCAGUGGGGAAUUUUGGACAAUGGGCGCAAGCCUGAUCCAGCAAUGCCGCGUGCAGGAUGAAGGCCUUCGGUUGGU